GCACUUACCCCAUCAGCAUGGUUCCCACCACCGAAGACCCCGACUGCUGCACUGCAGUUUGCAUAAUUCUGUGACAUUAGGUCAGGUGAAAUACUGUGAGGCUCAUUUAGUAAUUACAUAACUGAGAUUGACUUCUACGAGAUUCCAUUCACAUGGGUCAUGCACAGCAUGCAGCAAGAGUUGCGAACAUGAAGAACAUUCGCUUGUGGUCACCACAAGCAAACAAUAUAUGAACAAAAAUUGCUUGAGCACUGCACAAGUCAAGCUUAUAGGCAAUGACUGUACAUUAAUUUGUAUGUCUAAUAUACGUUAACUGAAUAUUAACAUCAAGAUAGCUAGCUACGACCGCCCCAUUUGAUCAAUUCAUAACCAGAGUAAUAGACUUACACUCUAGUAGUCUAUGAUUCUAUAUGCAUGGCAUCAAGGUGAACAACGGUCCACUAACCUUGAGUAAAGUAACAACAACACAAUCCAUUCGAAGCCACCAUUAAGAAAGCAUCCUUAGAUGUUCCAGUAAUCAUUCCUAUGCAGUUACUCAUUACUGCCAAUACAAAAUUGACCAUAAACAUGAGCCAGUAAUAUGGUCAAUAAGUCACCAGAUAAACAAUAAGUCCUUGGGGGAAAAGUUCUUCAGCAUUGUCAAUCUAGUUGAUGGGUAAGAGAUUUGAUCAAGUUUUCAAUUCUAGAAGCAGACCACAAAACCAUACCUGAUCCAAAAACAGUGAAAGAGUUUAAAUUGCUGCCUUGGAGUUGUGGCAAUUCACAGCCAACCUACGACCAAGAAAAAUGGACUACAAAUAUACUCACCUACACAAUAGCACAACAGGGGAACCGGCGGAAUAACCUUUGACGUGUGAUCUAGUUGCGAACAUGCAGAAUAUUCGCUUGUGGUCACCACAAGCAAACAAUAUCUGAACAAAAAUUGCUUGAGCACUGCACAAGUCAAGCUUAUAGGCAAUGACUGUACAUAAAAAUAUCAUAGUUUUACACUCCAAGUCUCCAGCCAUGGAACCAAUACUGCAGAGUUUGACUCUAACCACACAUGAAAAGGGCUAGUUUUCCUCGUUCUUCAGCCUCAAGCCAUGUUUUGGUAGGCACCGGUAAUAACCGAGCCUUACAUCUCCAUGGUAAAACUGAUAAGACACACCAAGCAAGGAACGACAGACAUACAUAGCAGAGAUUCUUACGGUACAAGGACAGAAUUUACACCCCCUUGUAAAUAACAUGCUCAGUUCAAAAAUAUGGUUAGGCAGAUCAACCUAGUCCCUGCUCUCUAGGUUUAAGAGGUUCCACAAUUUCUCCAAAAACAGCACAUCCAUAAGCUUCAAACUCGUGGUGGAUCUCCAUGGUAUUGGGUCACUGAACUCUGUCCUCUCCCCUCCUCCUCCUAUUUCUCUCCUUGGUCUCCCUCUAACGCGCUCCCGAGACGGCCUCCGCCUCCCAA
rnacentral:lncRNA from 1 species